rnacentral:rRNA from 1 species
CGGGACGGGUGAGUAACGCGUGGAUAACCUGCCUCACACAGGGGGAUAACAGUUAGAAAUAGGUGCUAAUACCGCAUAAGCGCACAGCUUCGCAUGAAGCGGUGUGAAAAACUCUGGUGGUAUACGAUGGUUCCGCGUCUGAUUAGCUAGUUGGUGGGGUAAUGGCCUACCAAGGCAACGAUCAGUAGCCGGCCUGAGAGGGUGAACGGCCACAUUGGGACUGAGACACGGCCCAAACUCCUACGGAAGGCAGCAG